UACGUAGGGUCCGAGCGUUGUCCGGAAUUACUGGGCGUAAAGAGCUCGUAGGUGGUUUGUCGCGUUGUUCGUGAAAACUCACAGCUUAACUGUGGGCGUGCGGGCGAUACGGGCAGACUUGAGUACUGCAGGGGAGACUGGAAGUUCCUGGUGUAGCGGUGGAAUGCGCAGAUAUCAGGAGGAACACCGGUGGCGAAGGCGGGUCUCUGGGCAGUAACUGACGCUGAGGCACGAAAGCCAGGGGAGCAAACGGG
rnacentral:rRNA from 1 species